UAAGGAAUAUUGGUCAAUGGACGAAAGUCUGAACCAGCCAUGCCGCGUGAAGGAUGAAGGUCCUCUGGAUUGUAAACUUCUUUUAUCUGGGACGAAAAAAGGGAAUUCUUUCUCACUUGACGGUACCAGAAGAAUAAGCACCGGCUAACUCCGUGCCAGCAGCCGCGGUAAUACGGAGGGUGCAAGCGUUAUUCGGAUUCACUGGGUUUAAAGGGUGCGUAGGUGGGUCAGUUAAGUCAGUGGUGAAAUCUCCGGGCUUAACCCGGAAACUGCCAUUGAUACUAUCUGUCUUGAAUACUCUGGAGGUAAGCGGAAUAUGUCAUGUAGCGGUGAAAUGCUUAGAUAUGACAUAGAACACCGAUUGCGAAGGCAGCUUACUACGGAGUCAUUGACACUGAGGCA
rnacentral:rRNA from 1 species